ACCCCCCGCGCACCGCCGCCCGGCUUGUGCCCGCCAGGCAGCAGCAGCCGCAGCCCUAGGAGAGAGACGCGAGAGGCCGGAGCCGGGGGAAAAGUCAAAAGCCCCUUCACGCACAGCCUGUGUUAACCAUGUACCUCAGUCCCGGCGCUUCCCCCACAAACUGAGAGCGACAGGGAGAAUUUCCGCACAGUUUCAUCCUUGGACACUUCAGGACUGAGCGGUGCAGUGAAAUCUUUCUGGAUAAAAGAAGUGGGCUAAUGGAAGGAGAGACAGACCAAGUCCCAAUGACAUUGCCUGACCAUUUUCACCUUCGCCAUCAGCAGUCUCCCUCACAGCAUUGGUGUGGGCAGGUAAGAAGAAAGCAAGGCCCUGAAAGAAUAUACAUUGGAAAAUGAGCAGUAAUUUGAUACUCUUGUGGAAGAGCAUGACUCUUCGCCCCAGAAAGGCCAAUGACACCUUUACUACAGCGUAAAGAUCAAAGCCAGGGACUGUGAAACUGCCUCAUGAUGUUUCUCCCAUGAGACCUGUGUCUGGAUGUUUAUAUGGAACAAAACAUGGAACAGAGGCAAUAGUACUUGAUGUGUCUUCAGCUGGGGCUU
rnacentral:lncRNA from 1 species